GAAGUUGAGAUGAAAGCUUCUAGCAGGGGGCUAGGGAGCCCGUCGCCUUUUGCCGACUUGCCACUCCGUAGUUACGCCACUGUUUGUUACAUGUUGCACGUAAACACACAUGACGAGCUUCAUGUUACACGCUAGCAGGCAACGCAACAUUGCCAAACACGUUGCGCAUCGAAUGUUGCUUAGUGAACAAUAAGCUUAAAGCUGCGACAGGAAUGGAAAAUAAUAAUAUACGACACUGCGGAAUACACGGGAGUCUGCGCGUUGCAGAGGACGUUGCACCCUCACCCACUCUCUAGAGGAAACGCAUAUCCGCAGUGCCGCAGUGCGCCGUCAACCUUCGAGCUGAGCGUCACGAUUCGCUUGACCUCCUCAUCCAGCCUCAUCACCCUAGCUGGUUGAUCGAAGGUUGGUUUGUAGAUCAUCUGCAGCAGUUCGGAGAAUGUAUGCUUGACGAGAAUAGCUGAGGCUUCCCACUUAGAGCAGUAUCAUAGCGUACAUACAAUUGCUUUACGGGAGCAGUUUGCAGUCUUGUUUAUUGGUUAAAGCACAAGAAGAAACAUCAUAGAAGAUGGCGCGCCACGUUUACCCUAUGUCCUCAACACUGCAGCUACUGGGCUAAACUAACUUAUUUAGUCAGAACCAACUUUCAUAGAUUACCUAUUUCAUCGAAUAGGUAAUCUAUGAAAGUUGGUUCUUGUACCAAAGGAGCUUCCUCAACCAUGACAUAAUAUAACCAGG